rnacentral:rRNA from 1 species
UACGUAGGGUGCAAGCGUUAAUCGGAAUUACUGGGCGUAAAGCGUGCGCAGGCGGUGAUGUAAGACAGUUGUGAAAUCCCCGGGCUCAACCUGGGAACUGCAUCUGUGACUGCAUCGCCGGAGUACGGUAGAGGGGGAUGGAAUUCCGCGUGUAGCAGUGAAAUGCGUAGAUAUGCGGAGGAACACCGAUGGCGAAGGCAAUCCCCUGGACCUGUACUGACGCUCAUGCACGAAAGCUAGGGGAGGCAAACAGG